ACGGGUGAGUAACACGUGGAUAACCUACCUAUAAGACUGGGAUAACUUCGGGAAACCGGAGCUAAUACCGGAUAACAUAUUGAACCGCAUGGUUCAAUAGUGAAAGGCGGCUUUGCUGUCACUUAUAGAUGGAUCCGCGCCGUAUUAGCUAGUUGGUAAGGUAACGGCUUACCAAGGUAACGAUACGUAGCCGACCUGAGAGGGUGAUCGGCCACACUGGAACCGAGACACGGUCCAGACUCCUACGGGAGGCAGCAGUAGGGAAUCUUCCGCAAUGGGCGAAAGCCUGACGGAGCAACGCCGCGUGAGUGAUGAAGGUCUUCGGAUCGUAAAACUCUGUUAUCAGGGAAGAACAAAUGUGUAAGUAACUGUGCACAUCUUGACGGUACCUGAUCAGAAAGCCACGGCUAACUACGUGCCAGCAGCCGCGGUAAUACGUAGGUGGCAAGCGUUAUCCGGAAUUAUUGGGCGUAAAGCGCGCGUAGGCGGUUUUUUAAGUCUGAUGUGAAAGCCCACGGCUCAACCGUGGAGGGUCAUUGGAAACUGGAAAACUUGAGUGCAGAAGAGGAAAGUGGAAUUCCA
rnacentral:rRNA from 1 species